CCGUACAACCCGAGAAUAUAAUAGAUAUAUAUAUUCAUAUAUAUAACGGAGAAGGGCGUUCAGGGAAUCACCAGAUAUCCAAAGACUUAUUCCCCAUCUCUCAUCGAAUUUAGGUCUUUUGCUCAUCAAGAUCAAGAAUCGGACCGGUUCCCUAACAAGCACGACCAACACGCCGCCGAUAGCCGCAACUGUGAGCAUUUGGGUGCUGCUGUCCACUCUCUUCAAAUAAACACCUCGCGGAGUACCUUUAUAGUCAAUCCAACAACUUUAUAGGGCUUUACAGGAGAUUAACAAUCGCGGAACCGAAACACAAUUCCUUCCUUGUCCAUGUGGCCGAGCACUACAAACCUAUCUCGCUCGUCUUUUAGGUGACGUGCGUUGAUGGUCGAUUUGUGUGUAUGUCCGAUGGGUACCCGGGAAGCCAUGAGGCCGGGUUUAACUAACUAUUCCUUUGGGUAUGAUUAAUCGAUCCCGGAUUGCUUGGACGCAGCCGAUUCUCCACGACACAAUCUCUUAGUACUCAGAAGCAAUGUAUCGUAAGAAAUAGAAUAAUGCGGACUCAUCAUUGGUCAUUCGCGGAGGAGGUCUCUUUCUCUCUCUCUCUCUCUCUCUCUCUCUCUUGCGAUUUGUCACAAUGAUACAAGUAUCUAACGUCCGCUCUAUGACGCCAUAGCCCGGGUCCCCGCAAACCCCAGGAUUCUUCCGAGACCUUUUCUAUUUUUAUAUAUUCAAGAAGAGAGAGAGAGAGAGAGAGAGAUAUAAAUAUAUAUAUAUAUAUAUCUAUAAUCUUGUGACUCCUCUCGAAUCAGGACAAUUCUGCCGACCAACCUACUCAACAUAGUCAUACCAUAUACUAGCUAACUAGUUAACCAUUUCGAUUAGCAUAUCUUGUCCCCCGUUCACUAACUACCAAAAUACUCCCAAAAUAUGUCGAAUCCCCGUGUCCUACUCCUCGGCGGACAUGGCAAGAUAGCCCGCCUCUUAACCCCUCUCCUCCUCAACCGCUCCUGGGACGUAACCAGCGUGAUCCGCAACCCAGAUCAUACCAGCGACAUCCUGAAAUUGGGCCAGGGCAAGAAGGGCAAGGUCGAGGUGCUGGUCUCCAGUCUCGACGAUGUGAAGAGUGUCGAUGAUGCGAAGGCCAUCGUAGACCGCGCAAAGCCGGACUAUGUUGUUUGGGCGGCUGGCGCCGGCGGCAAAGGCGGACCUCUCCGCACCUACACCAUAGACCGCGACACAGCCAAAUACUUCAUAACAGCAACCUUCACAAACCCCUCCAUCACCAAGGUGCUCCUGAUCUCCCACAUCGGCAGCCGCCGCAAGCAGCCCCCCUGGCUCUCCGCAGACACCUGGGCCCGCUUCGAGCACAUCAACCAAGACGUCCUGCCGGACUAUUACCAGGCCAAACUGGCUGCGGACGAGUACUUCACCGUCAUGGCGCGCAGGCGCGCAGCCAUGGAUGACGA
rnacentral:sRNA from 1 species